rnacentral:piRNA from 1 species
UCAGAGAAUCGGCUUCCUGUGUCUGAGC